UGUAACCUGUGCUCUCUCUCCACAGGCUGACCCGAGGCUGCCGUGUGACGCCGCAGACGCAACUUCCGGGUAGCCGGCGUGGUUUGGUUUGUUUGGUUUGGUUAGCAGGACGCUUAGCGUCGACCUGCUAUCUCGGUUUGUAUCUACUUUUCGGUAUUUAUAUAUGUGACCUGUUCUGCAUACUCUGUAUUGUUUUCGCUGCUUCCUCGCUGGAGCUCCGUCUGCAUCAACCACGGUGGUGGUAUCCUGCCCCUGCGACGAUCAGCAAGCUACUUUCAGCUGUCGCCGCAUCACACCUGCAACCAUUACAGCUAUGGAAGAUAAGUUAUCUGGUUCACUUGCACCUCUCUGUAACUAUAGUGGUUCUGUGGAGUGCCUUACUGAUGACCUCAAUAUUGCCUUGUCUGUUGCCAUUGAUUCAGUUGCUCCGUACGUAACUAAAAAACGAACAUUGAAAAAACCAGCUCCUUGGUUUAAUGCAGAAACUCGCAUUUUGAAGCGAAAUUGCAGGAUCCUUGAACGCAAAUGGCGCUCGACUAAACUUGAGGUCUUUCAUCUUGCAUGGCAUAAUAGUCUGAUCACCUAUAAGGGUGCGCUGACUAUCGCCAGGAACGCCUACUUUUCUAGUAUCAUUAAUUUGAAUAGAAAUAAUCCUAAGUUUCUUUUUGACACGGUGAGGAGUCUCACUCAGAAACAGAAUCAGACCGUAGGCUCCUCGAUCUCGGCAGGUGAAUUCAUGGAUUUCUUUGAGAAUAAGAUUCAAUCAAUUAGAGAGGAAAUUGAUGCUUACCGGGCGGCUAAUCCUACACAUCCUGUGGGGCAUGAUGGGGUUCUGCCACUCUGAACUCUGACGCAACUCUUUUGGAGUUUAAGGCGAUUUCCUUGGUGGAACUUGAAAGGGUGAUAAAGGCCUCAAAGCCAACAACUUGUAUGUUGGAUCCGCUCCCUUCUAGGGUUCUUAAGGAACUUUUUCCAACGGUGGGGCCUGUUAUCCUCUUGCUUAUGAAUCUUUCGUUUUCAACAGGAAUUGUUCCUUCCAAUUUCAAGGCUGCGGUGUUAAAA